AAACAUGUUUUUUUGAAAAUAAUUUAAAGUUUAAUCUGCCCCCUGAUNAAAUUAUUAAAGGGCUGCAGUAUUUUGACUGUACAAAGGUAGCAUAAUCAUUAGUCUCUUAAUUGGUGACUUGUAUGAAAGAUUGGAUGAAAUAUAUACUGUCUCUAUUUAAUUUAUAAAAUUUAAUUUUUUAGUAAAAAAGCUAAAAUGAGUUUGAAAGACGAGAAGACCCUAUAGAGUUUAAUAUUUUAUUUAAUUAUUAUUAAUAUAUAAAUUUUAAAAUUAAAAUUAAAUAAAUUAUUUUGUUGGGGUGAUAGAAAAAUUAAAUUAACUUUUUUUUUAUUUUAUACAUUAAUUUAUGAAUAAAUGAUCCAUUAAUAAUGAUUAAAAGAAAAAAUUACCUUAGGGAUAACAGCGUAAUUUUUUUUUUUAGUUCAAAUAGGAAAAAAAGUUUGCGACCUCGAUGUUGGAUUAAGAUAAAAUUUAAAUGCAAAAGUUUAAAAUUUUAAUCUGUUCGAU
rnacentral:rRNA from 1 species